rnacentral:rRNA from 1 species
AUUGAACGCUGGCGGCAGGCCUAACACAUGCAAGUCGAACGAGUGGCGGACGGGUGAGUAAUGUCUGGGAAACUGCCCGAUGGAGGGGGAUAACUACUGGAAACGGUAGCUAAUACCGCAUACCAUCGGAUGUGCCCAGAUGGGAUUAGCUAGUAGGUGGGGUAACGGCUCCCCUAGGCCACGAUCCCUAGCUGGUCUGAGAGGAUGACCGUCGACACUGGAACUGAGACACGGUCCAGACGCCUACGGGAGGGAGCAGGGGGGAAUGUUGCACAAUGGGCGCAAGCCUGAUGCAGCCAUGCCGAGUGUAUGAAGAAGGCCUUCGGGUUGUAAAGUACUUUCAGGGGGGAGGCGUUACUCGCAGAAGAAGCACCGGCUAACUCCGUGCCAGCAGCCGCGGUAAUAC